UUUCCUGUGGCUCAGUGAGUAGAGCAUUGCCCUAGCAACACAAAGGGCGAUGGUUCAAACCCACUGAUGAAAU